CUUCAUUACUUUAAUCUACUAUAGUAUUGUAUACAGAGAAAGGAUACAUUUAUAUAGCGCGCUCAUAACUCAAAUAUUUGUAUGAAACUUCCAUUAACUAAUCUGAGAUGAUACUGCAUCAACUUAAAUCUUAUAGAAAUUGAGCAAACAUUUGGACCAGAUUACACAGACAUGGUUUCACCAGAAUCUUACAGAACUCUCAGAGACUUAAAAAAAAAAUUAUUCUAUACCAUGUUUAAAAGGCAUGGCAAACCUUAGACCGGUCAGUCUCCAAGAGCCUUAGUAAAACAGGUAGAAACCUUUGUCCAUAAUCUCUGAUCCAGGCUAUAUACCACAAUUUAAAAGAACAGAACACAUAUAAUGUGAGACAUAGAAGACACAAAACAUAUGCAGUAAUUAUUACACUGGAUCAUUUAAAAGGAAUCUGUUGCAAUAAAAAGGUUAGUUUACAGCGCAAAAUGAAGCAUGUGUUGGACCGCUGAAAAUGUAA